GGGCCCGCACAAGCGGUGGAGUAUGUGGUUUAAUUCGAUGCAACGCGCAGAACCUUACCAACCCCUUGACAUCCUGUGCUAUAUUCAGAGAUGAAUGGUUCCCUUCGGGGACGCAGUGACAGGUGCUGCAUGGCUGUCGUCAGCUCGUGUCGUGAGAUGUUCGGUUAAGUCCGGCAACGAGCGCAACCCACAUCCCUAGUUGCCAGCAGUUCGGCUGGGCACUCUAUGGAAACUGCCCGUGAUAAGCGGGAGGAAGGUGUGGAUGACGUCAAGUCCUCAUGGCCCUUACGGGUUGGGCUACACACGUGCUACAAUGGCAUCUACAGUGGGUUAAUCCCCAAAAGAUGUCUCAGUUCGGAUUGUCGUCUGCAACUCGACGGCAUGAAGUCGGAAUCGCUAGUAAUCGC
rnacentral:rRNA from 1 species